UUAUUUAUAUGGCAGAGGAGAUGCCAUGAUUAGGAAGGUGGUUUUCCCAGGGCGAGGCUCACUCAUUGCACUUCGGGUGUGCUGACCCCUGCGAUUUCCCCAAAUGCGGGAAACUUGACUGGAUAGUUUGUGGUAGUGGGGGACUGUGUUUGUCCUCUCACCUA